rnacentral:lncRNA from 1 species
CUCUUAGACUGCGGUUUCUUAGUAACCGACUUGCGCCGUUUUGGAGGUAGUGGAGAAGAAAAUUGUUUGGUUUCAAUCAGUCUUUUCUCUGAAGCUGGGACCAAUAAAGAAGUUGAAAUUGAUUGCAUAUAAAAUGGAUAAAGAUGAAAUAAGUAUGAGUUAUGUUAAGAAAAGAAAAUUAAAAUAAAAGCAAAGUUUAUUAUAGAAGAAGAAGGCGGGACAUCAGAGGUAUGAUCGAAAGUCUCCUCUGGUUCUUCUUUCGGUACAGAUGGAGCAGCGGGAUCAACCGAAAAAUCUUUGCUUGGGAAGGGUACCGCUGUCUCUGGGAGAUAAGUAAGUAAGAAUUAUGUUUAAAAAGGAAAAUAAUUAUAAGCAAGAGUUGUACCAAUUGGGUGAAUAGCCUGGUGGUAUGCCUGUGUCGUGGAUAAGUUGAAGAUGUG